CUUGAUCAACACGAUGUGUUGAAUGUUCCAGGAUUAUAUACAAACCUUUAUUUGGACAAUCACUAUCCAUAGAUGCUUCGGCUGUGGUUUCUUGACUGCCAUGUACAGGACCAUCCAUUUCUGCACACCGCUGAGAUUCCAUUGAAUUCUGAAUUCUACUCACCCUCGAGAUCCAUGACGUUAUCCUCAGCCCCAAAUAUCGUUGGCACACUACCAUCUUCCAAGCUGAUGCGUGUAAAAUUCUGCUUGAAGCAGUCAGGUGUAAAAUGUGCUCAGCAUAAAACACUAUACUGAUUUGGAAGCCACUUCGUCCUUUCCAUAUUUUUCACCUAUAAUUGGGCCUGGAGUUCAUUUAUAGGGAACCUGAAGCAAGAUGCGAAUGUCUUAGAUCCAUACACUAACAGCUUGGGCCUAUACAAUAUGAAUUUUGCAAUAUUCACAACGGCCCAUGAUUCUGACGCUGAUGCUUGUGCACGUAACAAUCAGCAGCUCAAAUUUGAAAAAAAAUGCGCGCGCGCGUCACUCACCUCUUGUUUGUUCAUGACCAUGGAAACCGUAGUACGAUGCCCUCUCAUCAGGUAGCGCUUAUAGUAUUCUUGCGCGCUUUUAAUCGGCACACUUAGAAAGAUAUACCCCGCAUCCAGUUUCUAUAGAGAUCAGUGGAAAAAAUAGACUUGAUCCUCAACAGCUGUUGUUCGGCGAGCAGCACCAUUGCCUCUUCGGUGGUCCUGAAGUCCCACGAUGCCAUCUUCUCUGAACCUUGCGAUCCAGCGCUUCGCUGUAGAAAGGCUGAUAUCUACUUCGGCUACAAAAAUGAGAUAGUCACAGAAAUCGAUUUUAUUGAUUGAUCAAGAAAGAAGCUUUGUCUACUCUUAAUGAAUUAUUUCAGCUGCUAUUGCUGGAACUGAUACACUGGACUUCCAGAGUCCUAUCACUCGCCCACGCCUGGUUUGAUCCAUUUUAUUAUAAGAUUGAUAACUCCUAAUUUUUUCGCGUAAUACAAUACGAAUCUCCUUUAACGCAUCAACAAGGCAAAAGAGUUAUGAAAUCCGUGAUUCAAAUGUUUUUCCGAUGCGCGGGCACUCGUUUCCCACAAGUUGUCAAUUGUUUUUGAAUGCAUCCCUGCUUUCCCUUCAGCACUCUCGCGAUGAGAAAAACUCUCACACUUUUGCCCAUGCGCACGCAUGCGUAGAGAUCUUUAAAUUUCAAAAGUUCAAAGCAAGAUACAUUCGAAAAUUCUAAAACAUACUCUAUUUUUAUAUGUAAGUCUCGAAAUCAGGGACUUAUUUCAGGUAUCAGGUUUUGGAGGUUCGGUAAUCAAACAAGCAUUGAUGCAGUCAGAUACAACUGUAAUAAACAAACAUAUUUACAGAUGAGCUUAGAUUUACAAUACCAUUCUAACAUACAAAGCUUUAAUCAUAAUUAGCCUACCUGAUUCGAUACAAUUGUUGGUAGCCUUAUUUUACGCUUAGUAAUACUCGCUGAGUCAUCACGCUCUAAUUCUCCCACAUGGCUUUUCUUCUCUGCUUGGUCAAGUCACCUGUCGUGUUAUUGACCAAGCCUAACCACCUUGUUUGGCGGUUCCUUCAAACUUACAUAUACUCAAAUAUUAUCAGGAUUACUUAUAUUUAAAAAAUACUAGGUCGACAAAGAUUAUAAAUUAUACAAUAAUAAUUCCGAGUUUGUAACUAUAUUUUAAUUGCUUACAUUCAAGCAGAAAUCAUCAGUUUUAAUAAGCAAAUAUAUAUAUUUCUUCUGGAAAGAAAUAUCAAUUUAUUUUAAAAUAAUAUUUGGUAUCAUUAAUGUUAACUUAAAUUUUCAUAAACAAUAUGAACGAAUAUUUAAACUUUGAAAUGUUUAACCCUUUCCACUCCAAGGCUGUUUUUGUUUUCAUUCCCAUCCAAGGCUGUUUUUGUUUUCAUCCCAUUAUAUUUGUAAGUCGAUGGGAUGCAGAAGCGCUCGUACCCACCGGCUCGUAAGCCCCACUGCAAUUUGGUACGGUUUGGUCCGUUCACGUAUUUGAGUUUUGGGCAAUUCUGCGAUUCCUCCCGGCACAUCUCGUGGCCGAAUUAAGCUAUCGUACGUUUUGGAAAAUAUAAUAUCUGAGUCUUCAGUUUGGUCUUGUACCGUUUCUCCCGUGCAUUUGCUGCACGUGGCCUAAUUUAGUACGUUCCGUAGAAAAGUAAUUAAGUAAUACGUUAAGUAAGCCUUAGUGAUAUCUGGUGAUACUCUAUGGUAUUUUGAUUAUAAUUUGAUGACCUAUGUAACAUGCUCUACCGUAUGGAUUUGUAAUUUCUUUGGAUAAUUUGUUACUCCUACGUUAAAUAUUUUGUUCCGUUACGUUCCCGCUCAGUUUGUGAAAUCUAUUUGCCUGUUACCGUAGGGUAGCCACGGAUAAGCGCUCCGUCUAAAACCGCGUUUUCCUUCCGUUCGUAAUUAUCGCAUAUUUGGAACAUCCGUAAAAAGUAUCAGUAAUCUUCCGGUAGGCCUUCCGAAUACCGGAACUAUGAUUCUGUACUACCGUGAAUGAUUUCCCGCUACCGUUAAACGAAUUAUAUUUUGUUACUUCCGAACUUUUGUAAAUCUACCGAUU